rnacentral:rRNA from 1 species
AAACCAAGAAGAUUAAGUCAUGCAUUUUUGGUAAAAAGACAGUUAAGCAGCACAAAAAGUUUGUUUAAUCAUUAUUGAGAAGUAAAAUUCGCAAAUAAUCUAGAGAUUUGAUCAAAACUAAAAAGCUGAAGCUGUGACAUCCUUGAGGGAAACUGGGAUUAGAUACCCCAUUAUUCUUGGAUAUAAAAAAAUAUGGAUUUACCAGAGUACUAUGGAUUGAUGACAUUUAAAACUCAAAGAGCUUGGCGGUGUUUUAGACUCUUUAGGGGAACCUGUCUCAUAAUCGACAAUCCACGCAAGACCUGACCUUUAUUUGCUUUCAGUUUGUAUACCGUCGUCGUCAGGUAACUUUUUAGAAAAAAGAAGUUAGCAAUUGAGCUUUUAAUAAGCUCUUACGUCAGAUCAAGGUGCAGCCAACAUAAAGGGGAGGAUGGGUUACAAUUAUAAGAAUCAUAACUACGGAAUGGCUGUUUUGAAUAGCAGCCAUGAAGGAGGACUUAAAAGUAAAAUAAAAUAUAUAAAUGUAUUGAAUUGAGCUCUGAAACGUGC